GAUGAAGAACGUAGCGAAAUGCGAUACUUGGUGUGAAUUGCAGAAUCCCGUGAACCAUCGAGUCUUUGAACGCAAGUUGCGCCCGAAGCCAUUAGGCCGAGGGCACGCCUGCCUGGGCGUCACACGUCGUUGCCCCCCCAUCUACUCCUUCGGGAUUGCGGGGGGCGGAUGAUGGCCUCCCGUGCGCCUCGCCGCGCGGUUGGCAUAAAUGCCAAGUCCUCGGCGACGCACGCCACGACCAUCGGUGGUUGCGAAACCUCGGUUGCCCGUCGUGUGCGGUCGUCGCGCAUCGAGGGCUCGAAAAAAUUGCCGGGUUCCGGCUCGGCUUUCAACGCGACCCCAGGUCAGGCGGGGUUACCCGCUGAAUUUAAGCAUAUCAAUAAGCGGAGGA
rnacentral:misc_RNA from 1 species